GCCAACUUAAAGUUCGUUCACGAACUUUGCCUUUUCUAGUUAUUAUUAUUAUUCCGCGCUCAAAAUUUAAUCGACUACUCCUCCUAGGGCUUUUGACGUAGAACCACGAAAUUUUGCAGUAUCGUAGGACCUAUACCCGAAUAGGUUGCUUGUGCUUUUUUAAGCGAUACAUCGUACGGUUUUCGUAAAAACUUCGUAAACGUACGCAUUUUUUUCCCAUAGGAAUGAAUGGGGCGAAAUUUUAAACGUCCGUAACCGCCACAAUUUUUGACAUACAAAUACAAAAAUCGGACGGUCUAUAGACCUUACCGCGUUCUUUCCGAAAAUUUUAACGUUUCGACGAUACGUCGUACGGUUUUCGUACAAAUGUCGUACGAAGUUUUCCCAUUG